CCUUCAUCGCGCCUACACGCUGGGUUGCAUUUCUCCGGCACAAACAACCGUACGAGUGGUCGCUAAUGGCGGACGGUGGAGGUGGUGUUCCUGGCGCAUUUGUGAUUUCACUCUAAAUAGGAAGGAAUCGGCGCUGGAUUGUUACACAAUAUUUCAUUUGCAGCUGUUGCACCAGUGAAGGAUGUCUGUGUGCCGCCUUGCAUUCAGUUUCUCAGCCAUGGGGGCGUGCUUGCAACACCAGUGGAAAAGCAGUCUUGCAUUGGUGCUAUUUGUUCUGGAAGGACACAAGCAUUGAGGAGCCAUUUGACCUGCCACAACACUGAUAUUGUAUUUGGCAAAGCAGGAGGCAUGUGCAAGCAACUAGUCAUUCCGAUUCUCAACCAAUCCUUCUUCUAGUCAGGCCAUUUCUAGUGUCUUGCAAGUUCUUUUUUUCAGUAAAGCCCAAUAAACAUGCAGUUUCG